rnacentral:rRNA from 1 species
UACGUAGGGUGCGAGCGUUGUCCGGAAUUACUGGGCGUAAAGAGCUCGUAGGUGGUUUGUCGCGUUGUUCGUGAAAACUCACAACUCAAUUGUGGGCGUGCGGGCGAUACGGGCAGACUGGAGUACUGCAGGGGAGACUGGAAUUCCUGGUGUAGCGGUGGAAUGCGUAGAUAUCGAGAGGAACACCUGCGGCGAAGGCGGGUUGCUGGCCCGGUACUGACGCUGAGGUGCGAAAGCGUGGGGAGCAAACAGG